UCGACGAGUUUGAUCAUGGCUCAGGAUGAACGCUAGCGGCAGGCCUAAUACAUGCAAGUCAAGGGGGAUAGCAAUAUCACCGGCGGACGGGUGCGUAACGCGUACACAACGUGCCCAAGGGCGGAGGAAAGCGGCGGGAAACUGCCGGUAAUACUCCAUGGUGUUGUUGAGUGGCAUCACUUAACAACUAAAGUACAAGCGCCCUUGGAUCGGUGUGCGUUCGAUUAGCUAGUUGGCGGGGUAACGGCCCACCAAGGCUUCGAUCGAUAGGGGGUGUGAGAGCAUGACCCCCCACACGGGUACUGAGACACGGACCCGACUCCUACGGGAGGCAGCAGUAAGGAAUAUUGGACAAUGGGCGGAAGCCUGAUCCAGCCAUGCCGCGUGAAGGACGAAGGCGCUCAGCGUUGUAAACUUCUUUUGGAUGGGAACAAUAACUCCGACUUGUCGGAACUUGAGGGUACCAUCAGAAUAAGCACCGGCUAACUCCGUG
rnacentral:rRNA from 1 species